AAUUUUCCCGACCGUCCAAUUAAAAACCGGAGGAUCGAGAUUAACCUAAACCUAGACCACUAGCUAUAUAUUUGGACCCUAGUCUAGAUCAUACCUAAUCCCUAAAAAUCCUCCAUCUUCUCCCGUAGCCGCCGCCACCCACCUCGUUUUCUCAUCUUGCCAACCAAGUGCGGCCUCCUCCUUCCUCAUGUUCUAUCCAGGGCAGCCCCGCGCAGCCACAUGCCCCGUCAUUGACCUCCAUGGCGAGCUCGAAGCCCCCGCAUCACCUCCAAUAGGACCGUCGCGUCCCUCUCCUCUGAUUCCUCCCAUUUUCCCUUCCUCCUAUCUCUCCCUCACCUUGCAGUCUUUCUCUCUUGCUGGAGGACCAUCAGGAGCUUUGCCUAGCUCCAUGGAUGGUCGCCGCCGUGAGUGUCGCGAGGGACCUCCUUGUCGGCGGUAUCUGACAAGUCUCCGUCGCCUUGCUUCGUUCCUCCCUUGUGUAGAGCCUCUCGAUGUCGCCCCGUGAGCCGCUCGCUGCUCCCGAUCUAUAGUAGGAGACCCGUGCUCCUCUGGGUUGCCUCGUUGUCCGGCGACUGGCGCCACCGCCGGCAGCCAUGAGAGCAGCCACCAGACCGGUUCCCUCGAACCUGCCAUGGCUGCAAGAGGAGCAAGCUCUGCCGCUGUGUGCUGCAUGCCCGGCCAGGAAUCGGACGAGGCCAAGCACCGCCGCCGGAUCCCGUUGCCUGCUCCCCGUCUCGACCUUCUCCAACGCAGCCCCAUCCCGCCAAAGACGAGCCCACCUGCAUCUGCGUCUUCAGCCACGGCCGAAUAGUUCCAAUCAGGUUCAGUUACAGCCGAGUUGGUGAUUCAGAUUUGUUAAGUUCAGAUUCA